rnacentral:rRNA from 1 species
CCCUUAGAUGUUCUGGGCUGCACGCGCGCUACACUGAUACUUUCAGCGAGUCCACCACCUUGCCUGGGAGGGUGGGGUAACCUCUGGAAAGUGCAUCGUGAUGGGGAUCGAUUAUUGUAAUUAUUAAUCUUCAACGAGGAAUUCCUAGUAAGCAUGUGUCAUCAGCCCGUGCUGAUUACGUCCCUGCCCUUUGUACACACCGCCCGUCGCUCCUACCGAUUGAAUGCUCAGGUGAGCCAUUCGGACCUUCAUCAUGCCGGUUUCCGGUUUUGAUGAGGGAAAGUCUUGCGAACCUUAUCAUUUAGAGGAAGGAGAAGUCGUAACA